rnacentral:rRNA from 1 species
UACGGCUAUAUCAGGUUUAAACAUCGGUUUUCAUACGAUCACCGUAUUUAAGCAACAUCGAGCCUGGUUACUACUUAGAUGGGUGACCGCUUGGGAAUACCAGCUGCUGUAAU